rnacentral:rRNA from 1 species
ACUGAACGCUGGCGGCAUGCCUUACACAUGCAAGUCGAACGGUAACAGGUCUUCGGAUGCUGACGAGUGGCGAACGGGUGAGUAAUACAUCGGAACGUGCCUAGUAGUGGGGGAUAACUACUCGAAAGAGUGGCUAAUACCGCAUGAGAUCUACGGAUGAAAGCAGGGGAUCGCAAGACCUUGUGCUACUAGAGCGGCCGAUGGCAGAUUAGGUAGUUGGUGGGAUAAAAGCUUACCAAGCCGACGAUCUGUAGCUGGUCUGAGAGGACGAUCAGCCACACUGGGACUGAGACACGGCCCAGACUCCUACGGGAGGCAGCAGUGGGGAAUUUUGGACAAUGGGCGCAAGCCUGAUCCAGCAAUGCCGCGUGCAGGACGAAGGCCUUCGGGUUGUAAACUGCUUUUGUACGGAACGAAAAGCCCUGGGUUAAUACCCUGGGGUCAUGACGGUACCGUAAGAAUAAGCACCGGCUAACUACGUGCCAGCCGCCGCAGUAAAAC